rnacentral:lncRNA from 1 species
CUCGUGGACUCCUGGACCUUCCACAGUCAGAGUCAUAACGCUUCAGCGCGCUGUGCUCCAGAGGCCCUGCGGCGGGAUGUGGAGCUGCCGACUGGCUCUGGCCCAAAACUGUGCGCUGGAGGGACUGCCUGAAGCCAAAACGGGGCAGGGCACCGCGCAUGCCCGGCGCAAAACUGCUGUACUCUACGGCCUUCCGGGAGCCCUCAGGCGGUCCAAACUGACCUGUUUGUCCGUGUCUCUGGCGAAGUGGAUUUCAUCCCCCUCACAGACUGACUCCGUUAUGGCUAUGGGAAUCGGUGUUGGGAGAACAGCUGGAGGCGUUGACAUAUGUUUUGUGUGGAUGCUUAUACAUUCCUUUUGGCUAAAACGUAAAUCUUUUAAUGAGAGGAGUGAAAUUUUCUCUUUCUACUGGAUUGUUUUCCUUUGGAAAGAUUGGAGGUACUUUUUUUGCUGAGGAAAUCCUCAGUUCAAGAGGAAUGCAUGGCAGCAGGAUUAGAGAAUUCAGCCUCCCACCUCAAUGCCUCCGCCCCAUCCAGACAAUACUUAGGAUGUCACAAAACAUGACUAAGGUAAAGGAUGACAAGAAGAAGAAAGAGUCUAUUCUCGGGCUUUGAAUUUCAAAAGACACUUUGAGCGUUGGGACUUCCAGGAUGGCAAACUGAAGAGCUCAGUAGAACCUCUCCCCAAAGGCAACUGUGAAACUGGACGGAAUAGACACUAACAAGAAUUUCAGGAUUUUGGAAGUUAAUCAAAGGUUUACAACACUUCAGACAUGUUAAUCUUGAAAAUUUACUAAACUUUUGAACAGUGAGAGCCUGUGGCAGUCUUGCCUGAAUCGACUCCCUCUCCCCGUCGUUUGGUGGGACAAGCCAGAACAACAAGCUUUGCUGAUCGAUGGAGCUCACUGGAUUUGGACUGAAGAAGAAAAAGCACCGGCCUAGUCAGUAACAAUAGUGCUCUCAGUAGCUAAUGAACAGGGAUGACAAGUGACUUAGCUAGCUUUGGGUUGUAACCCUGAUAGGGAAAUUUAACAAUGAGGUCUCAGAAAUGAAAAAUCCGUAGUGGGCCAUGAGAAGUUUUCCGUAUAUCCCUGGCUUUCUGUGAGCCUGGAUAAAUGUGUAGGGGAGGUGUCAGAGAACUAUGCAGAAAGCAAAAGCUGGGGAAGAAGAAAAAUGCCUGAACUUUAAAUACACAGCACAGCCCAUGCACGGAUCCACUGAAGUGAUAGAAAUAUUCUGACUUUUCACAGUGGUAUUUAUUGUACAAAUCUAAAAACUUACUCAAAGUCAUUAAAUUGCACAAUUACAAGGGGUGAAUUUUAUGGCAUGUAAAUAGUACUUUAAUAAAGCUAUAAAACAUGUGAAGGGACACUAAAAAAAUUUAUUUUGCAAUUAAUUUCCAGAGACAAUAAUUUGGUACAAAAGUGUUCUGGGCAUCUCAAACUUGUCUUUUGAGGUUUUGAGGUGUCCAUAGCUCAGGACAGAGAAGGGAGUCAGAGAUGCAAGUGAGCCAGACCUCAUUGGAAAUCCUUGACAAAAGGUUCUUUCUCCUAGUCAUUUCCAGGCUAACUGGCAGGUUGCAGAAAGAUGGUGGAAUGAAGAGAACGGGAGAAAAAAAUAUCGAAGACAACCUGCUUUUUUCCCCUUCAGAGGAAUUAAUAAGGCAAACAAGUAAAUCCUCUGUUUCCUUGGAACCACAGGGUGAUAAAGCAGGGAUGUAAAAAUUCGUAUGGGGUAUUAGUUGAAAUAGAGGCCUGAAGCAGAUUUUGAAAGUCCCCACAAACUCCAGGACUAGCUGUGCUGCACACAAAUGAUUUCCAGUAAGGCUGUGGAUGCCACGAUGGGUAGGUGCCACAAAAAGAAACCAGUGGAAAUGAGUUGUGACAGCAAAUGAACAUGCCAGCUUGCACAGUGGUUGAUAAAGAACUCUGGGUCUCUCUGUAGCACAUUGGCCAUAUGUAAUCCUCCUCAGAAUUAACAGCAACUCUGUAACUUAGGAGAAACCCUGAAUUAAGUUCAUUGAUGGUCAUUAAAUUGAAUAUUCUAAAUUGAACAAGUUUAAUUUCCUACAAUUGUUGAAAUAAGCAUUCAGGUGAAAAAUAAGUUCAGAAAUAUGAAACUAUGAAAAGUUAAACAUCUUAGAAACCUGACUUUAGGGUCAUAGAAGCACAUCAUAGAUUUAUGAAAAUGUACAUAGGACACCUUUCAAGGACACAAGUAUAGCAAGAUUAUACAGUGAGUUAAACAUACUUUUCUGACUGGAUACCACCUCAGAUUACAUAAAACGUUACUAAGUAUCAUCAUCAUAUUCAUUAUCAAGAAAUGCUUAUUAAAAACUUCCUUUCAGGGGCUGGCCCUGUGGCCGAGUGGUUAAGUUCGCGCGCUCCGCUGCAGGUGGCCCAGUGUUUUGUUGGUUUGAAUCCUGGGCGUGGACAUGGCAGUGCUCAUCAAACCACGCUGAGGCAGCAUCCCACAUGCCACAACUAGAAGGACCCACAACGAAGAAUAUACAACUAGGUACUGGGGGGUUUUGGGGAGAAAAAGGAAAAAAUAAAAUCUUAAAAAAAAAAAAAAAAAACUUCCUUUCACAUAAAUGUGUCAAAUAUACAAAAUUAAACUUUUUUUAUUCAGAGUGUUGAAAGGCCACUAAAGUAUAACUUAGAAGAACUAGGGUCCCAUUCACAUUCUGCUUCUAACUAAGCCUGAAAAAAUAAUUUAAAAUCUCUGGACCAAUGCUUUCUUAUUUUUAUAAAUGAGACAUGAAGCAAGAUGAUCUAUAAACCUCUUCCAGUAAUGGAAUUUUAUGACCAUAAUAUAGGCUAUAUGCUGCUUCGAAUACUUGGUGCAGCAAGAUUGGACAUUUAAUUAGUCAAUUAAUUAAAUCAGUCAAUAUUGUCAAAGAGAUCACUGAAGUGACACUGACAAAUACAUACCUUAAACAGAAUGAAUUGUUAUUUAUAUUAAAUUUCUUAUAUGAAUUAAAAUUUCUUAAAGAUGUUAAGAGACAAGGACAUUUUGUGACAUGAUUCAUAAUAGUUCAGUCAGGGGAUAAGAUUUUGAAUACAGGAUAAACCACCUAUUUUUCUGAAUGAAAAUUCACGGACGAUAAUCUUGUCAGUAGUUUAGCUCUUUCUAGAAAUAUUUGCACUCUCCAUGAACAGUGAAAAAUAACAUACACUUAGAUUGACAUCACUCAGCUAAGUAAUUUUUGAAAAUAUACAGGAGUCUUUUUCCAAGCAAGUCCAAAGAAAUAUGUUCAACAAUUGCCCAUGAAACAAAGAGAAUUACUGACAGAGGUUACAAAUGUGGGCAGAAGUUGUUGAGGCCACAACAACCUUUGCUCUGUUACAGUGACGCACAGGUGAAGUAAAUCUAAUAAGACAAUUGGAUUACUAGGAGAAAGCUUCUGAAAACCCAGUGAUUACGUCAGGUAAAAAAUAAUAAAGUGCGACUCUUGUACUUACUGAGACACAAAAAGGCAAUUAUGCAAAAAGACACUUAAAAGCUGUGCUGCUAAGAAUAUAGUCCUAAUCUUUCUUAAUCCCCCUUCCUUUCAAGUACCACUUUCCCAAUAUUUUCUUCAUUUUAAAUUCUCUUGGAAAACAUCCCUCGUGUUCACUAUCAUGUAGCAUUUAGUGAAUCUAUUUUUCUGUCUACCAUCAAACUUAAAUAACACUCCCUUCAUUGCUUUAAAACAUGUUUCUUCUUAAUAAUUAUCUUGAAAUUUUCACAUAUCCUUUCACCACUUUUUCCCAUACAUGUAUAUGUAGGAUUUUAGGAACCCAGCUAAUAGGAAUGGCUUUUCUUUAUUUUAAAUUCAGUAUUCUUGUGGAAUUUUGGAGUGUGACAACUAAGGGCCUUUCAGGAUUCUAUUUCAUCUCUUGCACCUUAUUCAUCUCUAAUAUCUAUCACCUAUCAUCAGGUCUGACAUAAAAUACAUACAACCUUAUUAUUUAACAGCUGCCCAGAGUAAAGGUAACCAAAUGAACAUUGCCAUAGAUGGAAUUGAAAAGCCAAAGGAAUUGACUGAAAUAGAAAUAUAUAGGUGACUGUCUGAGGGCACCUCAAAGGGUACUAUCUGAGAGCAUGCAUGGUCUGCUAAUUUAAGACGGCAACACAAUGCAUAAAUCCAACUGGAAAGAAACAUGCUCAUAGAGGAGAAUCAAUUUCAGUAAUGAGGUCUAUCACAGUAAUAGCCUUAUAGCUGGUAGUACACCUCAUUAUUUUUGAAAUCAUCAGCUCAAUCAUUUAUUUAUUGUUCUGAUUAUAAUGUUGAAUAAUUUCCUUGCAAUAAAUCAACAAAAGUUCUGCUUUAUAUAUAUAAUCUACUUAUGUAUACAUAUAUAUGAAAUUCUUGAUAGAUGGUUUUUAUUAACUUUGCCCUUGAAUCUUGCCCACUUAGUUGGUCAAUUAACUCUCUUUUGAAGUAUUGAUUCCCCUCAUUUAGCAAAGGAUAUCUAUCUGGUUUAAUAAUAUUUUUAAAUAUGACUUUUCCAAAAAAAAUUUAAAAGUAUUUAAGAUAGAUACUUGAGUUAAAUUAGGAAAAAUGGGUUAUUCUUUUUGAAACUGCAAUAAUAUAUUAUUACUGAAACUUUUGAAAUACAAUUUACUCACAUACCCCUUGGAUACUAUAAAAUCUGUCUCAUAUAAUGACAAAUAAUGGGCACCUUAUUUUAGGAGAUUCUUUUAAAAGUCCAUUUUUUAAAUGAAAUGUUUUCGGGCAUAGUUAUUUCAUUUGGUUUCCAUUAAUAUUGACAAAUAGAAAAAAAAGAACAUUCCUCUCAUAGUUUAGCUUUUUGUGAAAAGCAGUAUAUCAGAAUGAUUGUGGCACAGAUUGUGGCGUUAACCCACAGUUUGAAUCUGACUAAAUCAACUCCUAGUACCGAGAUAUUAGAGAAGGUAUCUAACUUUUCUGUGCUUCUAUUUUUACCUCCUUAAAAUGGACCUAAUGAUAUAACUUCCUUCAUGCAGAUGUUGAGCUAAAAUGGUAUAUAAAAGACCUGGAAGUGCCUGGCACAUAGAAAAUUCUGGAAAGUUUUGGCUGUUAUUGUUCUCCCUCCGAAUUUAUGCUAUUAAAAAUGUUUCAAGCUUGUCAAGCUUGUCAAGGUGAAAAAAAUUAAAACAUAAAAGUUAAAAGAAAAGCAAAAUAGAUAAAUUCGAGACCAUUUUCAAGUUGAAGAAGCCUAUAAAUGUUAGAAAAGUGAAAUGGAGAAAAACAUGUAGGAGACUGCUGUUACCAUAGACAGAGAAGGAUAACAAAGAUAAAAUGAGAAGGCAGGGAAAGACGAAGGAUAGCUACAGGAGGAAAUCAAGCAGAGGCCUGGGUUAUAAGCUGGAGAAGUGUAAAGGGAGUCACGGUGGAAAUAUGAUAGCAGAUCAAAGAAAUAGCUACAUAAUGAAAGGGAGAUAAGUAAAGUGAGAGGGUAAGAAGUAUCCCCUUUUCUCUAUUCAAAAUGCACUUGAAAAGAAAGAAAAAUCAGCCUUGUAAGAAAGUAUUAAAAAAAAUAGCGAGCAUGUUUAUAUACAGUCUUGAGUCGCUUAACUGCGUGGACGGGGGCGCUUCUGAUUGAUGUGUCGUUAAGCGAUUUGUCGCUGUGCGAACAUCACAGCGUGUGCUUACACAAACCUAGGUUGGAACAGCCUACUACACACCUAGGCUACAUCGUACUAAUAUGGGACCAUCAUUAUGUAUGCGGUCCGUCGUUGACUGAAACGUUGUCAUGUGGCGUACGACUGUACUUUAGGUAGCAAACUUAAAGACAAUUAUGAAUGAAGAAAAGGAAGAAAACAUUUAACACAAUAGACAGAAGCUGUGUAGGAUUUGCGGAAAUAUAAAACAAAAUAGACCCCCCCCCCAAAAAAAAAGAGAGAUUAAAACAAAGAAAAAUGAGUUCACCAGAGACUAGACUAGGAAGGACUUGGAAAAUAAGUUGUCUACUUUGGAUUUUAGAAGAUAUUCUUAUAAGAAAUUUUUCCUGUGAUCUUUCUAAGUAUUUCCAUUUUAACUUUUUUAUUCCCAAGUGAAAAAUAUCUUAAAAAUAUCUAUCUCUGCUCUUUUAUUUUCUUUCUUAUAUAUCAUUUGCAUAUUCCAUGGGCUAUUUUUAUUUUUUUAUUAUUUGUAUAUGUAAUGAUAAAAAAAGUAUCUUCUUUCAUUUGCACAUUUCAAAUAGGUCAAAAUACCUAUUUAGAUAAAAUAGAUAAUGUCUGAAAGAACCAUAGGUAAGCUCAUCAAAAUGUUUAGGAAUUUUUUUGCAGAUCAUAGUUCAAUUUAAAUUUAAAAGUAUUUCUGCUUGCUUUGUUCUAAAUAGAAAUAGAAAAUAGGAAGAGAGCCUGCUAUAUUUUUGGGGUUUUUUAUUUUAUUUUCCUAGCUGAAGUUCAUAAACCAAACAAAGGACAGGAAGCACAAGAUAGGAAGGGAUACAACAUUUAUGUUACACUGAUGAUUAAGGCAUCUCUAGGGCAAAAAUUUACCUUUUUCUUUUUUUUCUUUUUGAGGAAGAUUACCCUUGAGCUAACAUCUGCUGCCAAUCCUCCUCUUUUUGCUGAAGAAGACUGGCCCUGAGCUAACAUCCAUGCCCAUCUUCCUCUACUUUAUGUGUGGCAUGCCUACCACAGCAUAGUUUGUCAAGCGGUGCCAUGUCAGCACCCGGGAUCUGAACCAGCAAACCCCAGGCCACGGAAGCAGAACGUGUGCACUUCACCACUGUACCACCGGGCCGGCCCCACCUUUUUCUUACUCUUACAAAAAAUUUAGAAAUACACCAUCACAAUCAAAACCAACAUGUUCAUGUACCUUUGUGAAACCAAACAAAUAGCAAGCAGCAGGGGCCGGCCUGGUGGUGCAGCGGUUAAUUGUACACGUUCUGCUUCGGUGGCCCGGGGUUCGUCAGUUCAGAUCCUGGGUGCAGACAUGGAGCCACUUGGCAAGCCAUGCUGUGGUAGGCAUCCCACAUAUAAAAUAGAGGAAGAUGGGUAUGGAUGUUAGCUCAGGGCUGGGCUUCCUCAGCAAAAAGAGGAGGAUUGGCAGUGGUUAGCUCAGGGCCGAUCUUCCUCAAAAAAAAUAAAUAAAUAAUAAAAUAAAAUAAAAAAUCCUCAAAUAGCAAGCAACAUUAACUUAUUUAUCUGUUCCCCUUACACUCAAUCCUGGAAGAUAGGUCUGGGAAUAAAAGUCCAAAUUCCUAAUUAUCAUCUUUAAGACUUUGCACAAUCUGACUUCCACUGAUUUCUCCAACCUUAUUUUAUAUUAUUCUUACCUUUCUCACCUUGCCUGCUUGCCACUCUUCAAAGAAGCCAAACCCUUUGCUACUUAUAGGUCUUUACACUAUCUUCCCCUCCAGGUAGAAUAUUUUCUUCACUGGUAUUCAAAGGCUAAUUUAUUCAUAUUCUAUAGGACUCCACUGAAAUGUCACAAGUGACUAUUUUAUUUAAAGUGGCUUUGCCUAUAUCUUUGCUAAUCACAUUUUUUAUUUCCCUUUGCUGCAUGAUUCACAAUCUGUAGUCAUUGUUAUUAGUUACUUGUUUUCUUUGGCUGAGUGGAUUGUAAUGGAAUUAGGUGGGGAGUUUGUGUGUUCUGCCGACUGCUUUAUCUGCAGCAUCUGCCACACUGUGUUAUGAAGAAUGGAGCUCAACAAACCUUGAUUGAAUGAGAGUGAAUGAUUAAUUGUCACAUAACUAAGUUCCUUUCUCCCCACUUGGUGAAUCUGCCAGAACAGUGUCAGGAGAGGUUGUAUUGUGGAAUAAAUGUGUUUGAUGGCAGCAGGACAUUCCUUUUAUCCUUCAACGUGAUAUUUAAAAUGAUAUACUUUUUAAAUGUCAUACAUGAACAUAUUCCUGAUCAAAAGCUUCAAAUAAUGAAUUGUUUAUAGAGUAAAGCAUAAAAUUAUUUACCCUUCCUGUAUUUCUUCUUUAUUUCUGACAUAGCCAGAUUUAAACAAGUGGUGUGCACUGUUUCAAUUCACUCUCUAUUUUCAUACAUAAAUGUAUACAUAUACUUAACAUAUGUAUUAAACAUAAUUUAAAGCAUGGUAAAUAUGCUGUGAUUACUUUUUUUCCUGAGGAAGAUUUGGCCUGAGCUAACAUCUGUGCCAAUCUUCCUCUAUUUUGUAUGUGGGUCACUGCCACAGCAUGGCUGCUGAUGAGUGGUGUAGAUCCAUGCCCUGAAACAAAAACCAGGCCACCAAAGUGGAGCACAUCAAACUUAACCACUUGGCAACGGUGCUGGCCCUUGUAGUUACUUUAAUAACAUAGAAAGGGGAUAUUCACCUGACUCUCUUUUUCUUAUUGAUAACUGAGUAGAGGUCCAUAUUAGAAUGCAGUGGGAUGCCAGAUAACGUUUUAAAGACUUCACCAUUAAUGGGACUUAAAAUUAUUAUUUUUUUUUGCUGAGGAAGAUUUGCCCUGAGCUAACAUCUAUCACCAAUCUUCUUCUUUUUGUAUAUGAGCUGCCACCACAGCAUGGACACUGAUGGACAAGUGGUAUAGGUCUGCACCUGAGACCCAAACCCAGGCUGCCAAAGCAGAGUGCACCGAAUUUAACCACUAGUCUACCGUGGCUGGCCCUAUUGUCAUUGUUUUUGUUGUUGUGUCUGUCCUACUUUUUUCCUAUUACCAAAAUAAAAUGCUUUUUGGGUCAUAAUUAUAAGAGUUUAGGCACAGGCAUGCAUUUUUUGUUGUUAUUGUUGUUGUGUCCAUUUUUUUGUUUUUGAUAGGUUCCUACAAGAAUAAUUGUUGACUUAAAGGCUGUGAACAUGCUUCAUAAUUUUCAGUUCAACAAGAGAAGUCUGAGAAAACCUAUUUCCCAGAAAUUUUGUCAUAACAUGACAUAAUCUGUUUUAUAAACUGUUGUUAAUCUGAUAGACAAAACAUAACUCAUUUUUGGUUUUCUUUGUGCAUCUCUAUUUAUGGGUGAGAUUGCAUCUCAUUCACUAUGUGUUGGCCAUCUGCAUCUCAUUUUUCCUAUGGGAUUUGAUUGUUAUGCAUUUUUCUCACUUUUUUAUGAUUUAUUUUAGUUUGGUUUAUGGACUCUCUGUACUAUGGGUAAUAAUUCUUUGUCAUUGUGCCUUUAUUGGUCAGUGAUUUUAUGCUUUGUGAGGUCAAUUUCUUCUGUUUUCUUUUUUUUUUAGGUCAAUGUCAUUACUGUUUUAAGAGCACAUGAUAAUUUCUCCUUCCUAUGCUUUUUCUUUUAUAUUUAUUCAUUUUUAUUGAGAUAUAAUUGACAUAUGACAUUGUGUAAGGUUAAGAUACACAAAUUGUUGGGGCCAGCCAGGUGGCACAGCAGUUAAGUUUGCACAUUCCACUUCAGCAGCCUGGGUUUCACCAGUUCAGGUCCCGGGUGCGAACAUGGCACCACUUGUCAAGCCAUGCUGUGGCAGGCGUCCCACAUAUAAAGUAGAGGAAGAUGGGCACAGAUGUUAGCUCAGUCUUCCUCAGCAAAAAGAGGAGGAUUGGCAGCAGAUGUUAGCUCGGGGCUAAUCUUCCUCAAAAAAAAAAUACACAAAUUGUUGAUUUGAUAAAUUUAUAUAUUGCAAUAUUAUUACCACUCAACAUAGUCUUAGCUGACACAUCUAUCAGGUCACAAUUAUUAUUUCUUUUUUGUGGUGGGAGCAAUUAUGAUCAAGUCUCUUAGCAACUUUGAAGAUUAUAAUACAGUACAGUGGUCCCUUGGUGUCUGUUGGGGAUUGGUUCCAGGACUUCCCUUGGAUACCGGAAUCCAUGGAUGCUCAAGAACUUUAGUCAGCCCUCCAUAUCCACAGGGUUCUACAUCUCCAGAUUCAACCAGCCAGUGGUCAUAAACACAGUAGAUGAUCCGUGGUUGGUUGAAUCCGCAUACAGAACCUGUGGAUAUGGAUGGCCAACUGUCUUGUUGUCUGUAAUCAUUAAGCUAUGCAUUAAAUCACCAGGACUUAUUUAUCUACUAGUUGCAAGUUUGUAACCUUAAACAGCAUCUCCUCAAUUUCCCCACCUCUCAGCCCCUGAUAACCACCACCCUACUCUCCUUUUACAAGUUCAGGUUUUCUUUAGAUUCCACAUAUAAGUGAUUUCAUACAAUAUUUGUCUUUCUCUGUCUGACUUAUCUCACGUAGCAUAAUGCUGUCAAGGUCCUUCCAUUUUGUCACCAUUGUCAAUUUCUUCAUCUUUCCCUAUGUCAUGGUUGCAUUUUGAAUAUUCCCAAAAAAGGUCUUCCUCAUACUGAGAUUUUUUUUAGUCAUAUAUUUUAUCUGUAAUGGACUGAAUGUUUGUGUCUCCCCAAAAUUCAUACGUUGACAUUCUUACCUCCAAUGUGAUGGUAUUAGCAAGUAAGACCUUUGGGAAGUGAUUAAGUCUUGAGAGCAGAUCCCCCAUGAAAGGGAUUAUUGCUCUUCUAAAAGAGACUCCAGAAAGCUCCCUUGCCCCUGCCACUAUGUGAGGACACAGUGAGAAGAGAGUUGUUUAUGAAGUAGGAAGCAAGUCUCACCAGACACCAAAUCUGCUGACACCUUGAACUUAAACUUCCCAGCGUCCAGAACUGUGAAACAUAAAUUUUUCUUGUUUAUAAGGUACCCAGUCUAUGAUAUUCUGUUAUAGAAGACCAAAUAGACUAAGGCAUUAUCUAAUACAUUUAGUAAAUGCGUUUAGAAAUGUUUAGCAAUUUUAGGAAGCAAAUAUAACUUUAUUAUCUAAUUUUCUUUUUUUCGUUAACUACAAUUAUAUUUUCCUGAAAAAUUUUCUGACCUUAAAGCUUUUACAUUGAUCACUUGUGUAUUUCACAGGCAAUGCUAUAUAAUAUAUAUUAAUCUAGUUUACCGUGAUAUAAAUAUAUACUAUAAGUUUCGGA